GUUAUCACGGGAGACACACGGCGGGUGCUAACGUCCGUCGUGAAGAGGGAAACAACCCAGACCGCCAGCUAAGGUCCCAAAGUCAUGGUUAAGUGGGAAACGAUGUGGGAAGGCCCAGACAGCCAGGAUGUUGGCUUAGAAGCAGCCAUCAUUUAAAGAAAGCGUAAUAGCUCACUGGUCGAGUCGGCCUGCGCGGAAGAUGUAACGGGGCUAAACCAUGCACCGAAGCUGCGGCAGCGAACGUAUCACUUAAAGCGAUUCAGCGGGUUACGAUUGACGGAGCGAAGCGACGUCAAAGCGUAUACAAAGUCGAGUCGGUUUAAGGAUACGUUCGUUGGGUAGGGGAGCGUUCUGUAAGCCCGUGAAGGUGGCCUGUGAGGGUUGCUGGAGGUAUCAGAAGUGCGAAUGCUGACAUAAGUAACGAUAAAGCGGGUGAAAAGCCCGCUCGCCGGAAGACCAAGGGUUCCUGUCCAACGUUAAUCGGGGCAGGGUGAGUCGACCCCUAAGGCGAGGCCGAAAGGCGUAGUCGAUGGGAAACGGGUUAAUAUUCCCGUACUUGGUGUUACUGCGAAGGGGGGACGGAGAAGGCUAUGUUGGCCGGGCGACGGUUGUCCCGGUUUAAGCGUGUAGGUGUGUGUUCCAGGUAAAUCCGGUUCACUUUAACACUGAGGCGUGACGACGAGGCACUACGGUGCUGAAGCAACAAAUGCCCUGCUUCCAGGAAAAGCCUCUAAGCAUCAGGUAACAUCAAAUCGUACCCCAAACCGACACAGGUGGUCAGGUAGAGAAUACCAAGGCGCUUGAGAGAACUCGGGUGAAGGAACUAGGCAAAAUGGUGCCGUAACUUCGGGAGAAGGCACGCUGACACGUAGGUGAAGUGAUUUACUCAUGGAGCUGAAGUCAGUCGAAGAUACCAGCUGGCUGCAACUGUUUAUUAAAAACACAGCACUGUGCAAACACGAAAGUGGACGUAUACGGUGUGACGCCUGCCCGGUGCCGGAAGGUUAAUUGAUGGGGUCAGCGUAAGCGAAGCUCCUGAUCGAAGCCCCGGUAAACGGCGGCCGUAACUAUAACGGUCCUAAGGUAGCGAAAUUCCUUGUCGGGUAAGUUCCGACCUGCACGAAUGGCGUAAUGAUGGCCAGGCUGUCUCCACCCGAGACUCAGUGAAAUUGAACUCGCUGUGAAGAUGCAGUGUACCCGCGGCAAGACGGAAAGACCCCGUGAACCUUUACUAUAGCUUGACACUGAACAUUGAGCCUUGAUGUGUAGGAU
rnacentral:rRNA from 1 species